AGCGGGACGAAGCAGGAGCAAAACAAACCGAGGCUCGGCAAAUGGUGUAAUUCGAUCCAUCUCCGAGUCAAUCCUUCAAGCGGCGCGGGCCCACCCCCGGGCGCGGACGGUGCCACUUUGUGGAAGGACACUGAAUGCUCAAGCUGAAUAAAAAGAGAAACAACUCCUCCUCCAUGGCUGUCUCCUAAAACGUGAAUUGUGAUGUGUGCUGAACAAUCUCUUCAAACUUAUCUUCUUAAGGAAAGCUUUAAAAAAGAGCCUUGCCAUUGUCUGUAAUUUGUAUUUCAAUUACAAAGCUCAAGGAAGAGCCUUCCUGCAAAAUCCAGAAAGGUCCAGAAUGACUGUUUAGAGGUUUUUAACAGCAUCACACGUCCAUUAAAUUGGAGCAAGUCCAUGUAACAGUUGUAUUAUACUUUUAAAAUCUUAUUGCAUCUGAUCUGUACACAUAACACCGUGUGUGUGUGUGUGUGUGUGUGUGUGUGUGUGUGUGUUUGCGUGUGCGCGCACAUGCCUAUUUUCCUCUAAGAGUUCUUGUUUAAAAGCUUUGUGGGUUCUUUGCUAUAUUAAAAUAUUUGAAAUUGUGCUCAUAAAGUA